CUAUAAUGGGGGGUUAAUGGGGCUGGAAGCCAAUGUGGCUCUAUAAUGGGGGUUAAUGGGGCUGGCAGCCAAUGCGGCCCUAUAAUAGGGGUUAAUGGGGCUGGCAGCCAAUGUGGGGCUAUAAUGGGCGUUAAUGGGGGGUUACUGGGGCUGGCAGCCAAUGUGGCCCUAUAAGGGUUGUAGGGUCAGUAAUGGGGCUGGCAGUCAAUGUGGCUUCUACAAUGGGGGUUAAUGGGGGGUGGUAAUGGGGCUGGCAGCCAAGGAGUGCCUAUAAUAAUGGGGCGACGGAUGCGGGGCUGGUAGCGACCGCAGCCACCGUG
ensembl:lncRNA